GGGGAAACCCUGAUCCAGCCAUCCCGCGUGUGCGAUGAAGGCCUUCGGGUUGUAAAGCACUUUUGGCAGGGAAGAAACAGCCUGGGAUAAUACCUUGGGCGAAUGACGGUACCUGCAGAAUAAGCACCGGCUAACUACGUGCCAGCAGCCGCGGUAAUA
rnacentral:rRNA from 1 species